ACUGCACUAGAUUGUUAGAACUUGGAGUUGAAGUUGCUAGCUGGCCAAAGAACUCACAAGUGUAAGUAGUGUGCUGCAUGAAGAACAAGACUUUCACUGACUCCAUAAGGAUCUCUGGGCCAGAGAGUAGAGUAGAGUUUGAUAGUAAUUCAUGCUACAAGU
rnacentral:snoRNA from 1 species